rnacentral:rRNA from 1 species
UACGUAGGGGGCUAGCGUUGUCCGGAUUUAUUGGGCGUAAAGAGCGCGUAGGCGGCUUGGCAAGUCUGCUGUGAAAACUCGAGGCUCAACCUCGAGCUGUCGGUGGAAACUGCUUGGCUAGAGUCCGGAAGAGGAGAGUGGAAUUCCUGGUGUAGCGGUGAAAUGCGCAGAUAUCAGGAGGAACACCAAUGGCGAAGGCAGCACUCUGGGACGUGACUGACGCUGAGACGCGAAAGCGUGGGGAGCGAACAGG